AACGAACGCUGGCGGCAUGCCUAACACAUGCAAGUCGAACGAAGCCUUCGGGCUUAGUGGCGCACGGGUGCGUAACGCGUGGGAAUCUGCCCUUGGGUACGGAAUAACAGUGAGAAAUUACUGCUAAUACCGUAUGAUGUCUUCGGACCAAAGAUUUAUCGCCCAAGGAUGAGCCCGCGUAGGAUUAGCUAGUUGGUGAGGUAAAGGCUCACCAAGGCUACGAUCCUUAGCUGGUCUGAGAGGAUGAUCAGCCACACUGGGACUGAGACACGGCCCAGACUCCUACGGGAGGCAGCAGUGGGGAAUAUUGGACAAUGGGCGAAAGCCUGAUCCAGCAAUGCCGCGUGAGUGAAGAAGGCCUUCGGGUUGUAAAGCUCUUUUACCCGGGAUGAUAAUGACCGUACCGGGAGAAUAAGCCCCGGCUAACUCCGUGCCAGCAGCCGCGGUAAUACGGAGGGGGCUAGCGUUGUUCGGAAUCACUGGGCGUAAAGCGUACGUAGGCGGCCAUUCAAGUCAGAGGUGAAAGCCCAGGGCUCAACCCUGGAACUGCCUUUGAAACUAGAUGGCUGG
rnacentral:rRNA from 1 species